GGUGGUAUCACCUGUCUUCUCUGGCCCAUAGUGUAUAGCUCAACCUUACCUUCUAGGGAAGAGAAGGUUGGGUGAGUAGCUU
rnacentral:pre_miRNA from 1 species